UACAGAGGGGGCAAGCGUUAUUCGGAAUUAUUGGGCGUAAAGGGCGCGUAGGCGGCCUGGCAAGUGGAAGGUGAAAUCCCUCGGCUUAACCGAGGAACUGCCCUCCAAACUGCUUGGCUUGAGUCCGGGAGAGGUGAGUGGAAUUCCCAGUGUAGCGGUGAAAUGCGUAGAUAUUGGGAGGAACACCAGUGGCGAAGGCGGCCUGCUGGGCAGUAGCUGACACUGAGGCGCGACAGCGUGGGGAGCAAACAGG
rnacentral:rRNA from 1 species